ACCCCACCGUAGUGCUGCCGAGCACCCAACUGACACAGAUCUAGGACGCUGUUGACUGGCCCCGUCGCCGAGCCACUCCACUGCUGACCACCCUCCUUCGCCGAACGAUCCAUCUCCACCACCAUACUCCACGAGCUUCCUUGCCCGAGCAGCAACUGCCACCCGAGCAUCGAGUGAGGCCGCCUCCUCUAUGUGACUAUGUCCUCUCCCCCAAACAGCAGACCGUCUGUCCCCUCUUGCGAGCAGCUCUACCUCACCGACAUCCUCUCCCUGCAACUUUAGUCAUGAGAUGCAGUGUAUUGACCUGAAGCUUCGAUUGGCCUAAAGCUAGCCAGAUAUUCAGGAAUAUUAUUUGUAUUCUUUGUUUUAGCGAAACUGGUCAAAAAUGGACAAGGGGUGGACAGAUAAAGCUAGACACACAGAAACAUAUAUUGAUGGGGUAAAGCAAUUAAUAGAGUUUGCUUUUACCCAGUCAACAGAAAUGCAACCUCAAGCAAGCUGAGGAGCUGGAAGUGGAUAAGUCUGGCAAAAGUAGCAAUGCGACCACAAGCAAGUCGAGGAGGUUUCUCAAUGAUACACAAGUUGGUCGAGGUUUGGAAGAUCUACAUGUUGCUGGAGGUUUAGAAGAUGUACAAGUUGCUUUAGUGAUAAUAUAUAUGUAAUAUGCUCUGUUUGUUGAACCUCGAGACAUUGACAAGUUUUACACUUCAUUUUACUUGAUGUUUCAGCAAACAAGCCAUUGUAUGCUCAUUUUGGUUGUGUGGCACGAUUUCUUUACCUUGAACAU